ensembl:lncRNA
GUCGGUGUACAAGGAUCUUUUUGCAAAGAAGAAAAAAGAGCGACAACAGCUGCCUAUCACUAUGUUCUUCUCCCGAACAAACACACCUGCACCGCGGGCUUCAGAAGAAGAGAACACUGCAGAGCGCAGUCAGGAUGCAGCGGCCCAGUCUGAAGAGCAGUGAAACGGCCUACACGCGAGUCACUGUAUUUGUAUACAUGUAAUAGUUGCUAAUUGUAAAAAAAAAAAAAGUUUUCUAUUUCGCGGAUUUCACUUAUCGCGGGUCAUUUUCGGAACGUAACCCCCGCGAUAAACGAGGGAUUACUGUAUUCUCUUUCUCCCAAAUGCCUAAUGAGAGCCCAUCACCAGAGAGCCCACCGUCACUUUCAUUAUCGUUAGCUAACAUUUACUAAAGCUGCGCACUUUGGCUCCUUUAGCCAUGACUGACUGACUUUCUGACCUUUGGUCAUGAUGCUAACGAGCUCAGCUAACUAACGUUAGCUUGAAUGCUGACAUGGAAAUGGGGAAUUUCCCUGGUUUAACUUUUAAGAACGUUUCACAACUUGUGUGCAAGCGUUAUUUAACAGAGAGUUAUGUUAUACACUACAACAAAAAACAGUUACUUACCAAAUAACGAAUUUUCACCCGAGCCAGACAAAAUGAUGUUGCGUCUCGCUCCGUUCCUCACGGCAGUCCGGCCACGACCACCUGCAGAGGACGUGUGUCUCGCGCCCCCCCCAUCCGCGGUUGUCGUCUCGCGCCGCGUCGUCAGCGUUAUUAUUGCGCAAGUGUUCUGGUGUGAGUGUUUUUUUGUGAAGGAGGAGAUGGAAGGAGAGGAAGUAGAAGAUGUGUUCAACUGAGGGUGUGUUCUUGGAAAAGAUAAAAAUAAA